GCACAUAUAGACUUAAAAAUUUCAUUUAAACGCCAUUUGUACUUACGGCUUCACGAGAAAACGUGUUGUAGGAGUCGAAGGAGUUGUAUGGUGAUAACGACAACGAAAACGUGCGAAGUAGAGCAGAGAGUUGAUAAACGAACGGUUGACCAACUAGUCGAAUUCGUGGGUCAGUUGUGAUAUAUUUCUUACUUUCAAUAACAACAACA